GACGAACGCUGGCGGCGUGCUUAACACAUGCAAGUCGAACGCUGAAGCCCAGCUUGCUGGGUGGAUGAGUGGCGAACGGGUGAGUAACACGUGAGUAACCUGCCCUUCACUUCAGGAUAACUCCGGGAAACCGGUGCUAAUACUGGAUAUGACUCCUGCCUGCAUGGGUGGGGGUGGAAAGAUUUAUCGGUGGUGGAUGGACUCGCGGCCUAUCAGCUUGUUGGUGGGGUAAUGGCCUACCAAGGCGACGACGGAUAGCCGGCCUGAGAGGGUGACCGGCCACACUGGGACUGAGACACGGCCCAGACUCCUACGGGAGGCAGCAGUGGGGAAUAUUGCACAAUGGGCGAAAGCCUGAUGCAGCGACGCCGCGUGCGGGAUGACGGCCUUCGGGCUGUAAACCGCUUUCAGCUCUGACGAAGCUUUUGUGACGGUAGGAGCAGAAGAAGCACCGGCUAACUACGUGCCAGCCGCCGCAGUAAGAC
rnacentral:rRNA from 1 species